UUAACAAGAAAGUAUAAAAAUUAAAAAGCAUAAUUCAUAAUUAAUUAUUGAAACAUGAAAGUAUUUCAAAUAAUUUUGAUUAUAUCAGCAAUUACCACCUGCACAAUGGGUACCCCUAUUUUUAAUUUUAAUGGAGACAUUGAAAUGGGAGGGACGCACUAUAUAACGAGAACACGUUACAAUAUCUGACGAAAUAAAUACUAAUGAUUUGUAAUAUUUUUUUGCAUUUAAAUCAGUAGAAAAAUAUAACAACAAUAUAAUUGCAUUAAAUUAAUAAAAAAAAACUGAAACUAACUUUUUAAA